CUAGUGUCUGAUGCUUGUCUAGAGAGGGAAGACUGAGAUUUGCAUCUUACGUCCUCAUUUCUCUCUCUCAGUAUCGAAUGGAAAGAAGGGGAAGAAGCAGGAGCAUCCAGAGAAAUGAAGCUUUGAAAUUUGGAAGGUAACAAGAGUCUGUGGAAGGAGACCCUGCUGGAAAAGAAACUUUGGAACCUAGUGUGUGGG
rnacentral:lncRNA from 1 species